rnacentral:tRNA from 2 species
GCGCUCGUAGCUCAGCUGGAUAGAGCAACAGCCUUCUAAGCCGUAGGUCGCAGGUUCGACUCCUGCCGGGCGUACCA